GUUUCUUCUCGACUAACACCGACAAAUAAUGAAAAUCGUGUGAAACGAAAGGGUGAAACGACAACGCAACAUGUUGGAUCACCAAAUUCACCUUUGGAAGGUCAUUCUCCAAACGCACCCAAUGAAAAUGGUUCGUCGUUCCAACCACAUUCUCCAUCAUCGUCACCUGGUCAAGAAGAAAGUGUGGAGAGUCCUUCAGGUUCCGCUAGGGAAACACCUACAAACGAAGCAAGUUUCAUUGGAAGAUCACCAAAUAAUAAUGAAGAUCAUUUGAAAACAUCAAGUGGGGCUCCUUCGUCAACACCUACAAUUGGUAAAUCAAUUCCAUCGUUGGAACCACAACAAGAAGACAUGGCAUCUCCACAAACAGGAUCUCCUCGACGAACACCGACAGAUAAUAAAAAUCAUGUGAAACGAAAGGGUCAAACAACAACGCAACAUGUUAGAUCACCAAAUUCACCUUUGGAAGGUCAUUCUCCAAACGCACCCAAUGAAAAUGGUUCGUCGUUCCUACCACAUUCUCCAUCAUCGUCACCUGGUCAAGAAGAAAGUGUGGAGAGUCCUUCAGGUUCCGCUAGGGAAACACCUACAAACGAAGCAAGUUUCAUUGGAAGAUCACCAAAUAAUGAAGAUCAUUUGAAAACAUCAAGUGGGGCUCCUUCGUCAACACCUACAAUUGGAAAAUCAAUUCCAUCGUUGGAACCACAACAAGAAGACAUGGCAUCUCCUCAACCAGUUUCUUCUCGACUAACCCCGACAAAUAAUGAAAAUCGUGUGAAACGAAAGGGUGAAACAACAACUCAACAUGUUGGAUCACCAAAGACACCUUUGGAAGGUCAUUCUCCAAACGCACCCAAUGAAAAUGGAUCGUCGUUCCUACCACAUUCUCCAUCAUCGUCACCUGGUCAAGAAGAAAGUGUGGAGAGUCCUUCAGGUUCCGCUAGGGAAACACCUACAAACGAAGCAAGUUUCAUUGGAAGAUCACCAAAUAAUAAUGAAGAUCAUUUGAAAAUAUCAAGUGAGGCUCCUUCGUCAACACCUACAAUUGGUAAAUCAAUUCCAUCGUUGGAACCACAACAAGAAGACAUGGCAUCUCCACAAACAGGAUCUCCUCGACUAACACCGACAGAUAAUGAAAAUCAUGUGAAACGAAAGGGUCAAACAACAACGCAACAUGUUGGAUCACCAAAGACACCUUUGGAAGGUCAUUCUCCAAACGCACCCAAUGAAAAUGGAUUGUCGUUCCUACCACAUUCUCCAUCAUCGUCACCUGGUCAAGAAGAAAGUGUGGAGAGUCCUUCAGGUUCCGCUAGGGAAACACCAACAAACGAAGCAAGUUUCAUUGGAAGAUCACCAAAUAAUGAAGAUCAUUUGAAAACAUCAAGUGGGGCUCCUUCGUCAACACCUACAAUUGGAAAAUCAAUUCCAUCGUUGGAACCACAACAAGAAGACAUGGCAUCUCCUCAACCAGUUUCUUCUCGACUAACACCGACAAAUAAUGAAAAUCGUGUGAAACGAAAGGGUGAAACAACAACUCAACAUGUUGGAUCACCAAAUUCACCUUUGGAAGGUCAUUCUCCAAACGCACCCAAUGAAAAUGGUUCGUCGUUCCAACCACAUUCUCCAUCAUCGUCACCUGGUCAAGAAGAAAGUGUGGAGAGUCCUUUAGGUUCCGCUAGGGAAACACCUACAAACGAAGCAAGUUUCAUUGGAAGAUCACCAAAUAAUGAAGAUCAUUUGAAAACAUCAAGUGGGGCUCCUUCGUCAACAC
rnacentral:lncRNA from 1 species